CCUACGGGGUGCAGCAGUGGGGAAUAUUGGACAAUGGGCGAAAGCCUGAUCCAGCCAUGCCGCGUGUGUGAAGAAGGCCUUCGGGUUGUAAAGCACUUUCAGUGGGGAAGAAAGCCUUGGGGCUAAUACCCUCGAGGAAGGACAUCACCCACAGAAGAAGCACCGGCUAACUCCGUGCCAGCAGCCGCGGUAAUACGGAGGGUGCGAGCGUUAAUCGGAAUUACUGGGCGUAAAGCGCGCGUAGGCGGUCUGAUAAGCCGGUUGUGAAAGCCCCGGGCUCAACCUGGGAACGGCAUCCGGAACAGUCAGGUUAGAGUGCAGGAGAGGAAGGUAGAAAACCCGGUGUAGCGGUGAAAUGCGUAGAGAUCGGGAGGAAUACCAGUGGCGAAGGCGGCCUUCUGGACUGACACUGACGCUGAGGUGCGAAAGCGUGGGUAGCAAACAGGAUUAGAUACCCUGGUAGUC
rnacentral:rRNA from 1 species